rnacentral:lncRNA from 1 species
UACUCGAAGAAUAGCGGUUGUAAGAGGUCGAUCCACAGGGAGGCGAUUGGAGUUGCACAAAAAUCAGAACGUUCACUCGGAUUUGAAAUCGAUUUUUGAAUGAUAGAAGAAAAACAUUAUAUCGGGGAUGAUGAUGGAAUCUCUAGUCUACCGGAGAAUAAUUUUUAAUUGAAAUUAACUAGACGACAUGUACUCAGAUUCAAAAAGCAUUUUUAAUAGAAAAAUAAAGCUCUGGCAUAAAAUUAAAAUGGAUGAAA